CCUCCCCGGCACACCUGGACUCGAUUCCUGCCCCCCCAAAUAAAGCCCAGGUGUGAUCCAGGUGUGCCCAGGUGUGCUCCAGGUGUGUCCAUGUCUAUCCAGGUGCGCCCAGGUGCGCCCAGGUGCGCUCAGGGGGGCGGCAGGAGGGGCGUGGGCACACCUGGCACCCCCGGAACCGCACAGGUGACCCCUCCAGGUGUGUCCACGUCCAUCCAGGUGCGUUCCACGUCCAUCCAGGUGUAUCCAGGUGCGCUCCAGGUGUGCCCACGUCCAUCCAGGUGCGCCCAGGUGUGCUCCAGGUGUGUUCCACGUCCAUCCAGGUGUAUCCAGGUGCGCCCAGGUGCGCUCAGGGGGGCAGCAGGAGGGGCGUGGGCACACCUGGCAGCCCUGGAACCGCACAGGUGACCCCUCCAGGUGUGUCCACGCCCAUCCAGGUGUAUCCAGGUGUGCCCACGUCCAUCCAGGUGCGCCCAGGGCGGGGUCAGGAGGGGCGUGGGCACACCUGGCAGCCCUGGAACCGCACAGGUGACCCCUCCAGGUGUGUCCACGCCCAUCCAGGUGUAUCCAGGUGUGCCCAUGUCCAUCCAGGUGCGUUCCACGCCCAUCCAGGUGUAUCCAGGUGUGCCCAGGUGCGCCCAGGUGCGCUCAGGGGGGCGGCAGGAGGGGCACCAGCAGCCGCAGCGCCCCCAGCCCCAGGGCGGCGGCGCCCAGCGCCCGCAGCCCCAGCGCCCCCCAGGGGCCGAGC
rnacentral:lncRNA from 1 species